rnacentral:rRNA from 1 species
GAUGAACGCUGGCGGCGGGCCUAACACAUGCAAGUCGAGCGGACACAUGAUAAGCUUUUUCUUUUACCGUUAGCGGCUGACGGGCGAGUAACACAUGCAUCACCUACCUCUAUUUCUUGGAUAAUUUCGUGAAACCGGUUCUGCUACCGCCUCAUAUAUCGAACCGGAUGGUUCAAUAGUGCAUGACGCUUUUGCUGUUACUUUUAGCUGGAUCCGGGCUGCAUUAUCUAGUUGGUAAGGUAACGGCUUACCAAGGCAACGAUGCGUAGCCGACCUGAGAGGAUGAUCGGCCACACUGGAACUGAGACACGGUCCAGACUCCUACGGGAGGCAGCAGUGGGGAAUAUUCCACAAUGGGCGAAAGCUUGACGGAGCAACGCCGCGUGGGUGAAGAAGGUCUUCGGAUCGUAAAGCUCUGUUAUUAGGGAAGAACAAAAGUGUGAGUAAAUAUGCAUGUUUUGACGGUACCUAAUGAAAAAGCAACGGCUAACUACGUG